GUGCAUGCAGCCCCUGUCACGUACCCCUUGCUUGACUGAAUCAAUCACGACCCUUUCAUGUAAAAUCUUUAGUGUUGUGAGCCCUUAAAUGGGACAGAAACUGUGCACUCAGGGAGCUUGGAUUUUAAGGCAGUAGCUUGCCGAUGCUACCAGCUGAAUAAAGCCCUUCCUUCUACAACUCGAUGUCUGAGAAGUUUUGUCUGCAGCUCGUCCUGCUACAUUUCUUGGUUCCCUGACCGGGAAGUGAGGUAAUUGACGGACUGCCGAGGCAGCACCUUAGGCGGCUUAGACGUGCCCUGUGGAGCAUCUCUGCGGGGGACUCCAGCCAGCCUGAGUGACGCGAUCCAAACAGCGCUCCUGGGUAGGAAAAUGCCCCAGUGGGAUGCCUCACCAGAGCAGCGCUUGGCAGGCCCCCGCGGAGGAUAAACACAGUGGCUGAACACCAGGAAGGAACUGGCACUUGGAGUCCAGACAUCUGAAACUUGGUAAGACUAGUCUUUUGAACUUGCCCCACUCCACCUGAGUGGAAGCAUGGCCUGAUCACCCGCAGUGUGCCUGUACUGGCAUCUUUGUUCUGGUUUUGACUUGGCUUGACUUGGAAUCCUUCUUGGCACUGGGAAUACAGAGGUGAUGGGCAGGAAAAUUCCCUGAUUUUAUAGAGCUUAAAUUCUUGUAGGAGAGACAGACAAUAACACCUAUCAGAGCUGCUGAGACUGCAUUCUGGGUCUUUUAUCUCAGCUGGAUUAUUCACACCUAAAGAAGACUGACUGAGAUGUGUUGGCGGGCUUCUCAAGAUCCCUAUCGAUGGCAGAAUGCUGACAUGAGUUGCCCAUAGUCCAGGUUUCCCAAUGUAGCAGAUGACUCUAGCGGCUCCAGCUUCAGCAUCAUCUUAAGUUCAAGUGAAAAGGAAAAGAGAAUCUCUUUUUCUUCAAACAAUUUCAAACUAAAAUCUUGAGUCUGACUUUUCCUGGCCAGAAUUAAGCUUGUACUUAUCCCUGAAAAAUCAUCAAUGCUACAGUGAUGAAUUUACCAAUUGAGGCAGAAUUUAGGUCACAUGACGCUCCAAAGCCUCUUCAAAACCGCAUGACUCAGAGUGAGGCAGAAGUAUUUGGGAUAUUUGCAACAGGAGAAGGGUAAAUGAAUGGAGAGUGCCAAAACAACUUAUGUCAAUUAUACAAUUAUAAAUACAACCAAAAUAAAGUAUGGAAAUCAGUAUUUUCACCUAUCUUAACAGAGUGAAAGAUUUAUUCUGUUGAAUAUUUGCCAUAUUUCACUUUCCACAUUCAGCACUCUGCAAUAUUUAAAGAAGAAAAUAAGUCUCCAUAUACUGAAUAAAGACAUAUCAAAAUUUGUGUGACAUCAUAUUCCUUAGUUACAUUUUUUGUUCAUUCAUUUGUGUGUUUGUUUAUGUCACCCACACUAGAUCAUGGUGGUGUGAACAUGGUUCACUACAGCCUCAACAUCCUGGGCCCAAGCAAUCCUCCCACCUCAGCCUCCUGUGUAGCUAAGACCACAGGUGGGCACCACCAUGCCCAGCUACCUUUUAAUUUUUUGUAGAUAUGGGGGUCUCACUUUGUUGCCCAGGCUGGUCUCGAACUCCUGGGCUCAAGCUAUCCCCACAACACUUUGGUUUGGCCUCCCAAAGUGUCGGGAUUACAGGUGCGAGCCAGUGCACUCAGCCUUACAUUUUUUAAUAAAUGAAUUUAAACAAAGAAUAGAAACAUAUUUUUAAACACACCAAUUAACAAACCAAAGUGUAUUGCAAAUUAUUGGAAGGGACAGCAGAGUGAAAAAAUGUUAUCCCACCUGCAGGAGGUGGAAAAGGUGAUAAUAUGAAACAAAUAUUUCCACCUAUCCUAAUAGAGUAAAAGAUUUAUUCUGCUGGAUAUUUUCUGUAUUUUACCUACCUUCCACAUUCAGCACUCUGCACUCUCUUGCCCAACUAUUCCUUUUAAUUUUCCCAUAAUACAACUUUUUAAUAUUUUAUGUAAUAUAUGUAUUUAUUUCUUUCUUUUACUAACUGUGUUUCCUACUGGAAUGUAAGCUUCAAAAAUUCAGAGAUCUUUGUCCUUGUUGCUGAUAUAGCCUACUGUCUAAAAAAAACUUCAGAUAUUUAAUUUUUUUAACUUUUAAGUUCAGGGGUACAAGUGCAAGUUUGUUACAUAGAUAAACAUGUGUCAUGGGGGUUUCUUGUGCAUAUCAUUUAAUCACUCAGGUAUUAAGCUUAGUACCCAUUAGUUAUUUUUUUCUGAUCUUCUCUCUCCUCCUAUCCUUCACUCUUCAAUAGGCCCCAGUGUGUGUUAUUCUCCUCUAUGGGUCCAUAUGUUCUCAUCAUUUAGCUCCCACUUAUAAGUGAGAGCAUGCAGUGUUUGGUUUUCUGUUUCUGUCAGUUUGCUAGGGAUAAUGGCCUCCAGCUCCAACCAUGUUCCUGCAAAGGACAUGAUCUCAUUUUUUUUAUGGCUGCAUGGUAGUCCAUGGUGUAUAUAUACCACAUUUUCUUUAUCCAGUCUAUCAUUGAUGGGCAUUUAUAUUGAUUUCAUGUCUUUGAGAUUGUAAAUAGUGCUGCAGUGAACAUAUGUGUGUAUGUGUCUUUAUAAUAUAAUGAUUUAUGUUCCUUUGGGUAUAUACCCAGCAAUGGGAUUGCUGGGUCAAAUGGUUUUUCUGUCUUUAGGUCUUUGAGGAAUUGCCACACUGUCUUCCACCAUCUUUAUUUCUGCCUUCGUUUCGUUAUGUACCAGUAGUCAUUCAGGAGCAGGUUAUUCAGUUUCCAUGUAGUUGAUCAGUUUUGAGUGAGUUUCUUAAUCCUGAGUUCUAGUUUGAUUGCACUGUGGU
rnacentral:lncRNA from 10 species